CUACGGGAGGCUGCAGUGAGGAAUAUUGCACAAUGGGGUUAACCCUUAUGCUGCAACUCCGCGUGGAGGAUGACGCAUUUCGGUGUGUAAACUCCUUUUAUAUGUCAAGAAAAUGACGGUAGCAUAUGAAUAAGCACCGGCUAACUCCGUGCCAGCAGCCGCGGUAAUACGGAGGGUGCAAGCGUUACUCGGAAUCACUGGGCGUAAAGGACGCGUAGGCGGGUUGGAAAGUCAGGUGUGAAAUCCUACAGCUUAACUGUAGAACUGCACUUGAAACUUCUAAUCUAGAGUAUGGGAGGGGGAGAUGGAAUUAGUGGUGUAGGGGUAAAAUCCGUAGAUAUCACUAGGAAUACCUAAAGCGAAGGCGAUCUCCUGGAACAUUACUGACGCUAAGGCGUGAAAGCGUGGGGAGCAAACAGGAUUAGAUACCCCCGUAGUC
rnacentral:rRNA from 1 species